rnacentral:rRNA from 1 species
GACCUCAAAUCAGGUAAGACUACCCGCUGAACUUAAGCAUAUCAAUAAGCGGAGGAAAAGAAACCAACAGGGAUUGCCUUAGUAACGGCGAGUGAAGCGGCAAAAGCUCAAAUUUGAAAUCUGGCAGUAAUGUCCGAGUUGUAAUUUGAAGAAGGUAACUUUGGUGAUAGCUCUUGCAUAUGUUCCUUGGAACAGGACGUCAUAGAGGGUGAGAAUCCCGUAUAUGGUGAGAUGACAUAUUACUAUGUAAAGUGCCUUCGAAGAGUCGAGUUGUUUGGGAAUGCAGCUCUAAGUGGGUGGUAAAUUCCAUCUAAAGCUAAAUAUUGGCGAGAGACCGAUAGCGAACAAGUACAGUGAUGGAAAGAUGAAAAGAACUUUGAAAAGAGAGUGAAAAAGUACGUGAAAUUGUUGAAAGGGAAGGGC